rnacentral:ncRNA from 1 species
GACUGAUCAGGGCAAAACCGGCGUGAGCCGGCGACGCAAAGCCUCCGGUCUCGGUUGAGAUAGCGGGGUUGCCGGA